rnacentral:rRNA from 1 species
AACGUAGGAGACAAACGUUAUCCGGAGUUACUGGGCGUAAAGGGCGUGUAGGCGGUUUGUUAAGUCUGGCGUGAAAGCUCUCGGCUAAACCGGGAGAGGUCGUUUGGAUACUGGCAGACUAGAGGACGGUAGAGGCGUGUGGAAUUCCGGGUGUAGUGGUGAAAUGCGUAGAGAUCCGGAGGAACACCGAUGGCGAAGGCAGGUCUCUGGGCAUUAACGUGACGCUGAGGAGCGAAGCAUGGGAGCGAACAGG